rnacentral:rRNA from 1 species
UACGUAGGGUGCAAGCGUUGUCCGGAAUUAUUGGGCGUAAAGGGCUCGUAGGCGGUCUGUCACGUCGGGAGUGAAAACUCGGGGCUUAACCCCGAGCCUGCUUCCGAUACGGGCAGACUAGAGGUAUGCAGGGGAGAAUGGAAUUCCUGGUGUAGCGGUGAAAUGCGCAGAUAUCGGGAGGAACACCGGUGGCGAAGGCGGUUCUCUGGGCCUUACCUGACGCUGAGGAGCGAAAGCGUGGGGAGCGAACAGG